rnacentral:rRNA from 1 species
GAAUAGUGGCGGACGGGUGAGUAACGCGUGGGUAACCUGCCCAUAAGUGGGGAAUAACAGUUGGAAACGACUGCUAAUACCGCAUAAGCUGAGCAAUCAGUAAAGGAGGCUAACGCUUCCGCUUAUGGAUGGGCCCGCGUCUGAUUAGCUAGUUGGUGGGGUAAUGGCCUACCAAGGCAACGAUCAGUAGCCGGCCUGAGAGGGUGGACGGCCACACUGGGACUGAGACACGGCCCAGACUCCUACGGGAGGCAGCAGUGGGGAAUAUUGCGCAAUGGGGGAAACCCUGACGCAGCGACGCCGCGUGAGCGAAGAAGGCCUUAGGGUCGUAAAGCUCUGUUUUAAGGGACGAAUAUCCUCAGUAGUAACUGACUGGGGAAUGACGGUACCUUAAGAGAAAGCCCCGGCUAACUACGUGCCAGCAGCCGCGGUAAGACGUAGGGGGCGAGCGUUGUCCGGAAUUACUGGGCGUAAAGAGCACGUAGGCGGGAUUUUAAGUCAGGUGUGAAAGACCGUGGCUCAACCACGGGGUUGCACAUGAAACUGGAAUUCUUGAGGGCAGGAGAGGAAAGUGGAAUUCCUGGUGUAGCGGUGAAAUGCGUAGAAAUCAGGAGGAACACCGGUGGCGAAGGCGACUUUCUGGACUGACCCUGACGCUGAGGUGCGAAAGCGUGGGUAGCAAACAGGAUUAGAUACCCUGGUAGUCCACACUGUAAACGAUGGUAACUCGCUGUCGGCGAUACACAGUCGGUGGGCAAGCGAAAGCAUUAAGUUAUCCACCUGGGGAGUACGACCGCAAGGUUGAAACUCAAAGGAAUAGACGGGGGCCCGCACAAGCGGAGGAACAUGUGGUUUAAUUCGAUGAUACGCGAAGAACCUUACCCGGGCUCGAACGGUGCAUGAAUAUACGAGAGAUUGUAUAGUCCUUCGGGACAUGUAUCGAGGUGCUGCAUGGUUGUCGUCAGCUCGUGCCGUGAGGUGUCGGCUUAAGUGCCAUAACGAGCGCAACCCUUGUCAUUAGUUGCCAUCAGGUCAAGCUGGGGACUUUAAUGAGACUGCCACCGUAAGGUGUGAGGAAGGGGGGGAGGACGUCAAAUCAGCACGGCCCCUAUGUCGGGGGGGACACACGUGUUACAAUGGGAGGUACAGAGGGCAGCUAUCCGGUGACGGAAUGCUAAUCUCCAAAACCUUUCUCAGUUCGGAUUGGAGUGUGCAACUCGACUCCACGAAGGUGGAUUCGCUAGUAAUCGCGCAUCAGCCAUGGCGCGGUGAAUACG